UAAUAAGCGGAGGAAAAGAAACUAACAAGGAUUCCCCCAGUAACGGCGAGUGAAGCGGGAACAGCUCAAAUUUGAAAUCUCCGAGGUUUAUCGCCUCGGCGAGUUGUAGUUGCGAGAAGUACUUUCUCGGCGGACCGACCGCGCCUAAGUUGCUUGGAACAGCACGUCGCAGAGGGUGACAACCCCGUCUGUGGCGCGGCCGGCCGCUCACGAUGUGCUUUCGAAGAGUCGGGUUGUUUGGGAAUGCAGCCCAAAAGGGGUGGUAAACUCCAUCUAAAGCUAAAUACUGGCGUGAGACCGAUAGCGA
rnacentral:rRNA from 1 species